UACGUAGGGGGCAAGCGUUAUCCGGAUUUACUGGGUGUAAAGGGAGCGUAGACGGUAAUGUAAGUCUGAUGUGAAAUCCGCGGGCUCAACUCGCGAACUGCAUUUGAAACUGCUUCCCUUGAGUAUCGGAGAGGUAAUCGGAAUUCCUAGUGUAGCGGUGAAAUGCGUAGAUAUUAGGAAGAACACCAGUGGCGAAGGCGGAUUACUGGACGACAACUGACGGUGAGGCGCGAAAGCGUGGGGAGCAAACAGG
rnacentral:rRNA from 1 species